GAACGCUGGCGGCAGGCCUAACACAUGCAAGUCGAGCGGUAGAGAGUGCUUGCAUCUCUUGAGAGCGGCGGACGGGUGAGUAAUGCCUAGGAAUCUGCCUAGUGGUGGGGGAUAACGUUCGGAAACGGACGCUAAUACCGCAUACGUCCUACGGGGAGAAAGCGGGGGAUCUUCGGACCUCGCGCCAUUAGAUGAGCCUAGGUCGGAUUAGCUAGUUGGUGAGGUAAUGGCUCACCAAGGCGACGAUCCGUAACUGGUCUGAGAGGAUGAUCAGUCACACUGGAACUGAGACACGGUCCAGACUCCUACGGGAGGCAGCAGUGGGGAAUAUUGGACAAUGGGCGAAAGCCUGAUCCAGCCAUGCCGCGUGUGUGAAGAAGGUCUUCGGAUUGUAAAGCACUUUAAGUUGGGAGGAAGGGUAGUAACCUAAUACGUUGCUACUUUGACGUUACCGACAGAAUAAGCACCGGCUAACUUCGUG
rnacentral:rRNA from 1 species